UUAUCAUAGAUGAACUUCCAUAAAAUAUAUCAAACUAAUAAGACGUUGUUAAACAUCAAGCGCCUGUAGCUCAGUGGAUAGAGCGUCUGUUUCCUAAGCAGAAGGUCGAAGGUUCGACCCCUUCCUGGCGCGAU